CUCUGUGACUCCUACGGGAGGCAGCAGUGGGGAAUAUUGCUACAAUGGGGGAAACCCUGAUGCAGCCAUGCCGCGUGUGUGAAGAAGGCCUUCGGGUUGUAAAGCACUUUCAGUAGGGAGGAAGGUAGUGUAGUUAACACCUGCAUUAUUUGACGUUACCUACAGAAGAAGCACCGGCUAACUCCGUGCCAGCAGCCGCGGUAAUACGGAGGGUGCGAGCGUUAAUCGGAAUUACUGGGCGUAAAGCGCAUGCAGGCGGCCUGUUAAGUCAGAUGUGAAAGCCCGGGGCUUAACCUCGGAAUUGCAUUUGAAACUGGCAGGCUAGAGUCUUGUAGAGGGGGUAGAAUUUCAGGUGUAGCGGUGAAAUGCGUAGAGAUCUGAAGGAAUACCAGUGGCGAAGGCGGCCCCCUGGACAAAGACUGACGCUCAGAUGCGAAAGCGUGGGGAGCAACAGGAUUAGAUACCCUGGUAG
rnacentral:rRNA from 1 species